rnacentral:tRNA from 2 species
CUCUCCGUAGUUCAAUGGAUAGAACGGGCGCCUCCUAAGCGCCAGAUACAGGUUCGAUUCCUGUCGGAGAGGCCA